rnacentral:rRNA from 1 species
UACAGAGGUCUCAAGCGUUGUUCGGAUUUAUUGGGCGUAAAGGGCGCGUAGGCGGCCGCGCAAGUCGGAUGUGAAAUCUCAGGGCUCAACCCUGAAACUGCAUUCGAUACUGCGUGGCUAGAGUGCUGGAGAGGAGACUGGAAUUUACGGUGUAGGGGUGAAAUGCGUAGAUAUCGUAAGGAAGACCAGUGGCGAAGGCGAGUCUCUGGACAGCAACUGACGCUGAGGCGCGAAGGCCAGGGGAGCGAACGGG